GGCAAUGUAACCAAUACUUAGAUUUAUUUAUGAAUAACUACUCUGCCACAAAAUGUAAAGCCUUUUUUUUAAUUACAUAUUUACGAAAGCUAUGUUAUCACUUAAAAGGUGUUGCAUUAUUUAAGUUGUAAUUUUAGUAGAUCCCAUAUGAUCACUUCAUUCAGAUUGGCUAAACAAAGUAAUUUUUAACCAGGUUUUCCGAAGGAAAAAACUGGUUAUUAGAUUGGCGAAUGCGGGCGGGCUGGCUGGCUGGCUGGCUGGCUGGCGGAAUAAGCUUGUCCGGGCCAUAACUAUGUCGUUCAUUGUCAGAUUUUAAAAUCAUUUGGCACAUUUGUUCACCAUCAUUGGACGGUGUGUCGCGCGAAAUAAUUACGUCGAUAUCUCCAAGGUCAAGGUCACACUUUGAGUUCAAAGGUCAAAAA